GCUUGCUCUUAGUGAAGUUAGCGGCGGACGGGUGAGUAACACGUGGGUAACCUGCCCAUAAAACUGGUNAUAACUCCGGGAAACCGGGGCUAAUACCGAGAUAACAUUUUGAACCGCAUGGUUCGAAAUUGAAAGGCGGCUUCGGCUGUCACUUAUGGAUGGACCCGCGUCGCAUUAGCUAGUUGGUGAGGUAACGGCUCACCAAGGCAACGAUGCGUAGCCGACCUGAGAGGGUGAUCGGCCACACUGGGACUGAGACACGGCCCAGACUCCUACGGGAGGCAGCAGUAGGGAAUCUUCCGCAAUGGACGAAAGUCUGACGGAGCAACGCCGCGUGAGUGAUGAAGGCUUUCGGGUCGUAAAACUCUGUUGUUAGGGAAGAACAAGUGCUAGUUGAAUAAGCUGGCACCUUGACGGUACCUAACCAGAAAGCCACGGCUAACUACGUGCCAGCAGCCGCGGUAAUACGUAGGUGGCAAGCGUUAUCCGGAAUUAUUGGGCGUAAAGCGCGCGCAGGUGGUUUCUUAAGUCUGAUGUGAAAGCCCACGGCUCAACCGUGGAGGGUCAUUGGAAACUGGGAGACUUGAGUGCAGAAGAGGAAAGUGGAAUUCCAUGUGUAGCGGUGAAAUGCGUAGAGAUAUGGAGGAACACCAGUGGCGAAGGCGACUUUCUGGUCUGUAACUGACACUGAGGCGCGAAAGCGUGAGGAGCAAACAGGAUUAGAUACGCUGGUAGUCCACGCCGUAAACGAUGAGUGCUAAGUGUUAGAGGGUUUCCGCCCUUUAGUGCUGAAGUUAACGCAUUAAGCACUCCGCCUGGGGAGUACGGCCGCAAGGCUGAAACUCAAAGGAAUUGACGGNGGCCCGCA
rnacentral:rRNA from 1 species